GACGAAGGAUGCAAGCGUUAUCCGGAUUCAUUGGGUUUAAAGGGUGCGUAGGUGGGCAGGUAAGUCAGUGGUGAAAUCUCCGGGCUUAACCCGGAAACUGCCAUUGAUACUAUCUGUCUUGAAUAUCGUGGAGGUGAGCGGAAUAUGUCAUGUAGCGGUGAAAAUGCUUAGAUAUGACAUAGAACACCAAUUGCGAAGGCAGCUCACUACGCGAAUAUUGACACUGAGGCACGAAAGCGUGGGGAUCAAACAGG
rnacentral:rRNA from 1 species